rnacentral:snRNA from 1 species
AUACAUUUUUGUGCUCUGGCUGCGACAUCUAUCACCCCAUUGAUCGCCAGAGUUGAUUCGGCUGAUCUGGCUGGCUAGGCGGGUGUCCCCUUCCUCCCUCACCGCUCCAUGUGCGUCCCUCCCAAAGCUGCGCACUCGGUGGAAGAGGACGGCCUUCCCCGAAUAGAGACGGACCGGUCUUCGGUCGAGGGUAUACGAGUAGCUGCGCUCCCCUGCUAGAACCUCCAAACAAGCUCUCAAAAGUGAACUUUUUGUAUGAAAGAUUUGCAUGAAACAUUUGCAAGCUUAAGAAGUUAGAGUUUAGUUA